UACGUAGGUGGCAAGCGUUGUCCGGAUUUACUGGGCGUAAAGAGCGCGCAGGCGGUCGUUUAAGUCGAAUGUGAAAGCCCCCGGCUCAACUGGGGAGGGUCAUUCGAUACUGAUCGACUUGAAGGCAGGAGAGGGAAGUGGAAUUCCGGGUGUAGUGGUGAAAUGCGUAGAUAUCCGGAGGAACACCAGUGGCGAAGGCGACUUCCUGGACCAUAACUGACGCUGAUCCGCGAAAGCUAGGGGAGCAAACGGG
rnacentral:rRNA from 1 species